UGCAUUGAGUGCAGUUGGUGCAAAGAUGUGCGUCUGCUCUACACAGGAAAAAAAGAAAAAGAAAAAAAUUCCAUCUGUCUGUAUUUGAAAUCAGCUCGCCAGCCUGUAGUUGGUCGAACCCCACCCAGAUGGUGCUGCGCAAAUGUAUGUUAAAAGAUAUCUUAUAUUAGUGUUGUGGGUGUCCAAUUUUUUUUGAAUGCCAUUUAGCCAAUGUGCCCAACCUGCUGCACAGAGAAAUCGUGACAAAAUAAAGAUAUGCUGAAGAGUUUCUAUUUCAAGGGCCAGAUCCUGCAAACAGUUCUGGAUGGCAAAUAACUCAAGCUAUGAUUGUUCUGUGUUAACAGUGGGCAUACAACAAUCAUUACCAUACCAGAGCCAACUUUUGCCCCAGCUACCACAUACUGUCAUGGCCUACAUUUGUCAACUGGCGUUUGCUUUGCACAUGAAAACGCAUGUUGAAGUCUCUAAUGAGCUGCUGAUGGAAAUUUCCAUAGGACGGGAUCAAGAAGGAUGGCUAGGCACACUCCACGAGGAUUCCCCUUGUGAGUUUUCCCCAAUCUCUCUGUUUAAGGAAGAGUUUUGUUGCAUGGUUUCCCCCCAAAUUUGUGAAUCACUGAGAGGACAGGUCCGGUGUCAGCUUUUGGGCUCUCCUGAGCAUCCUGACAAUGCAACUCCACCAGUAAUUUUGAAGUCAAUGGAGCAAUGCUGACUUACACCAGUUGAGGAUCUGGUGCAAUAUGUAUAACUUUACACUGUCUGUACAAUAUGGGCAAGUUAAUGGCAUGCUGAGAAGAUGAACUUGUAUAUUUAGAUUCACAACUGCAACAUUGUUUCAAAGUUGAUUUUUUUGUAUUUAAGUGGAGCUGAGUUUGCCACUUACUUUUUUCCCCCUGAACACUUGAAUCUUCUCAUCCUCUUUGCUAGAAUGCAGUGGAAUGUUUACUUUCUCAUUUUGUAACUCUCUCAUCUUGUGUAACAGUUGUGCUAGGGCAGUACUUGCUAUCUAGUUCUUUACUGAACUGCCACUUUUCUGUUUGGCCUUUGUUAAAAUUUCUGAUAAAUAACUGACUGUCUACAGCUGUUCAAAUCAUGUUGCUUUUUUCUAAGUGUCAUCUUAGUGGUUGUUCCCACCAAUAUGGGCUUUACUUCAAAAGGAAAAUGAGGUACAAUAGGGCUUGUUGUUGAGUAAAACUGAACACGUGGGCAGUGGGAAAAGAAUCUGAAAAGCGAAUUGCACAGGUUUAAUACACCAGCCAUUCACCUCUCACUGUGACGAAGGCCCUACAGAAUUUUGGCAAUAUCACGGUCUACAAUUUACUUUAAAUAACUGUUCUUUGUUUUCUACAGUUGGUGUUAUUUCUUCACGUUUUCUCAUUUGAAGCUAAUCCACAGCUAAGAAACAAUUAGCAUGCUUGUGCAUGUUAGUGCUAACUGGGCUUUAGGUUUUUGAAAUAGCAUUAGCUAUACUCUUGCUAUGAAACUGACCACAUAGGAGGCCAAUUAAUAUACUACUUUGUUGUUAAAGGCACUAAAAUAAUCAUACAUUUACUUUCAUAUGAUUUAUAUUAAUCAAUGGUCUAGUCUAUUUGAAGGAAUUUUCUAAAGAAUUCUUAAAAUUACAGUUCUGGAAUAAAAAGAAAUUUUGCUUGUAGACUGGAGAUUUC
ensembl:lncRNA